UAUGGCCAUAUCACAUUGAAACAUUGGUUCCCUGUACAAUCUCUGAAAUUAAGCAAUGUCAAGCCUGAUCAGUACUUAGAUUGGUGACCACUUGGGAAUACCAGAUGUUGUAAG